UUGCAAUGCAAAAUGCAAAUGAAAGACACACAAGGCUGCUGUUGUUGAUGAGAUAUAUAUAUAUAUUCUACCAAAACUUCUGUAAAUUUGUCAUGCCCGUAGACACUGAAUCGAACUGCAUGAUCGACCCUUUCUCUUGCCCGUCUGUUUGCUGCACGAAGCCCACCAUCCAGUUCCUCCAGUCUGAUGUGACGCCGUUGUUGUUUGUUGCAUCCCAAGUGUCUAGCUACAGCUUUCCCAGGUUUUGCAUCUGAGAAGCUCCUGGACUGUGAUGACUUAUCAUCUGAUGUGCAGAAACAGCCACGAAUCUCACGGAGGUCUUCGAUUCUGGGGUUUGUGCACCGUGAGAAAGGGAAGAACGCAUCGCCUUCAUCCU